rfam:Aedes aegypti strain Liverpool supercont1.9 genomic scaffold, whole genome shotgun sequence.
CCUCUCAUGGCGUAGUGGUUAACGCGCCCCAACUAGAGAUCGGGGAGUCGUGAGUUCGAUACUCAGUGAGAAGA